AGGAAUCAGGGAAGAUUAAAAGCUGAGCAGAAUGUAAUAUCUCUGAAUUACCUUCUGACCUUUUUGAGGCUGCAACCACUGGCUCAGAACCCACUUCUGGAAUCUACUCUAAAGAGCAAUUGACCAACAACUGCUGCCAAGUUUCCGAGUGCACUCACAUGAUUCUGGAAGUGGCAGUUUCAAGCAGCUGUGAUGAGGUGGUGAGCAGUGAGUUGCUCCUCACUCAUGCAGUGGGCCCUGGAAUGAAGAGGAGGAAAGCAGACCUGGAGAUAAAUAAAAUUCAAGAUACCUCAGGCUCUCAGCAAGUCACAAGAAAACAAGAAAACAUGAUGCUGUCUGAGCAAUUGGUACAGGAAGCCUGGACACAUUGCUGAGGAAAUCAGAACUUCUUUGCAAAAGAUGGUGACAAUCUGUGGCCAAGAUGCUGCCGGGAGAUGAUUACAGGCACAGGAGAGGAGUUUCAGGCAGUUCCACUAAGAAAGUUCCCAUCUCAAGAGGAUGCUGUUUGAUUUCUUGUUAUUCACCAUCCGUGUGAUCCAUGGGGGGAAGAAAAGGUAUUAAAGAAGAGAAGCAUAUUAAUGUUAUUACUCCUUUCUAACUUUACAGAGUGGCUACUCUUUUAAAUUCUUUUGAGACAAACACCUGAAAGAAAAUGUUGAUAUGUGAGAUAAGCAAUAAGCAGUGUUUGAAUACAUGCAUAUGUUAAAGGACACCAUUAAAAUUAAAAAUAACUCUAGAAAGGAAACAAAG
rnacentral:lncRNA from 1 species